rnacentral:rRNA from 1 species
AGCCUACGGGACGCAGCAGUGGGGAAUAUUGGGCAAUGGGCGCAAGCCUGACCCAGCAACGCCGCGUGAAGGAAGAAGGCUUUCGGGUUGUAAACUUCUUUUCUCAGGGACGAAGAAAGUGACGGUACCUGAGGAAUAAGCCACGGCUAACUACGUGCCAGCAGCCGCGGUAAUACGUAGGUGGCAAGCGUUAUCCGGAAUUACUGGGUGUAAAGGGUGUGUAGGCGGGGCUGCAAGUCAGAUGUGAAAAUUUUUGGCUCAACCCAUAACCUGCG